AUAACUGCUCGAAAGGGUGGCUAAUACCGCAUGAGACCUGAGGGUGAAAGCGGGGGAUCGCAAGACCUCGCGCAAUUGGAGCGGCCGAUGCCCGAUUAGCUAGUUGGUGAGGUAAAGGCUCACCAAGGCGACGAUCGGUAGCUGGUCUGAGAGGACGACCAGCCACACUGGGACUGAGACACGGCCCAGACUCCUGCGGGAGGCAGCAGUGGGGAAUUUUGGACAAUGGGGGCAACCCUGAUCCAGCCAUGCCGCGUGCAGGAUGAAGGCCUUCGGGUUGUAAACUGCUUUUGUCAGGGACGAAAAGGACCGUGUUAAUACCAUGGUCUGCUGACGGUACCUGAAGAAUAAGCACCGGCUAACUACGUGCCAGCAGCCGCGGUAAUACGUAGGGUGCAAGCGUUAAUCGGAAUUACUGGGCGUAAAGCGUGCGCAGGCGGUUCUGUAAGACAGAUGUGAAAUCCCCGGGCUCAACCUGGGAAUUGCAUUUGUGACUGCAGGACUAGAGUUCAUCAGAGGGGGGUGGAAUUCCAAGUGUAGCAGUGAAAUGCGUAGAUAUUUGGAAGAACACCAAUGGCGAAGGCAGCCCCCUGGGAUGCGACUGACGCUCAUGCACGAAAGCGUGGGGAGCAAACAGGAUUAGAUACCCUGGUAGUCCACGCCCU
rnacentral:rRNA from 1 species